UAAGUAUAACCUGCCAGACAGGGAAACUGCGUACGGCUCAUUACACCAGCCUUAAUUUACUUGACCUUGACAACCUACUUGGAUAACUGUGGUAAUUCUAGAGCUAAUACAUGCACCAAAGCUCCGAUCCUCGCGGAGAGGAGCGCAUUUGUUCGCCACAAAACCAAGCGCCCAUCUGGGCGUCCAGUGCUGAACCAGAACAACUCAGCUGAUCGCACGGUCUUGUACCGGCGACGUGUCUUUCAAGUGUCUGCCUUAUCAACUUUCGAUGGUAGUGUACCUGACUACCAUGGUUGUGACGGGUAACGGAGGAUAAGGGUUCGACUCCGGAGAAGGGGCCUGAGAAAUGGCCACUACGUCUAAGGAUGGCAGCAGGCGCGCAAAUUACCCACUCUCAACGCGAGGAGGUAGUGACGAGAAAUAACGAGACCGUUCUCAUACGAGGCC
rnacentral:rRNA from 1 species